rnacentral:misc_RNA from 1 species
GUUCUACUGUUCCGCACUGCAUGGUGAAGUAUAUCACAAUCACACCACUCAUGUUGUAUACACAAUCUAAAAAGAACGUAUACAUAAAAGAAUCUUCCCUUCCUUACCAAACAUGAAGAUUAAGCUUUCCACUUUAUGUACUGGACAGGGACUAAGAUACUAACUGCUGCCCUCUAGAUUUUGCUUCUUCAGUUUUAAUGCUUUUUUCAUGUGUAGCUCCUUUUUCAGCAGAUGGAUAUGACAAUCUACGGGGCUUUGGAUUUCCCUUUCCAUUGGACAAAGAAGGUUUAGAUGAAGCUGGGGUUUUUGCAGUUGGUGAAUUGGUGUUUUUACCAGC